UACAGUGUGGUGUAGUGGUUUGACCAUUGGAUUAUGACUCCAGAGACCAGGGUUCGACUUCCAGCCAUGAAA